rnacentral:tRNA from 1 species
AUUUCUCUAGCUUAAUAGAUAAAGCAUGAUUCUGAAGAAAUCAAUAUAUAACAGAAAUA